AACGAACGCUGGCGGCAGGCUUAACACAUGCAAGUCGAACGCCCCGCAAGGGGAGUGGCAGACGGGUGAGUAACGCGUGGGAAUCCACCUAGCUCUACGGAACAACAGAGGGAAACUUCUGCUAAUACCGUAUACGCCCUAAGGGGGAAAGAUUUAUCGGAAUUAGAUGAGCCCGCGUAAGAUUAGCUAGUUGGUGGGGU
rnacentral:rRNA from 1 species